rnacentral:rRNA from 1 species
AUGAAGGACGCCCGUACACAGAUGAUUCUUCAUCGGUGUGACAGCCCCGACGAGCUCUACCCGGUUCACCCAUCCUCCUCCAGCGCCAUCGCUCCCGUCGCCCUCUCCGCCGGUGUGGACCUUUGGCAUGCUCGUUUGGGUCACCCAACCCCACCACCCUUCAUCAUAUUCUUCGGAGUUUUACCUUCACGUGUAAUAAGGUUGAGGAUCACACUUGUCAUGCUUGUCGUCUCGGCAAACAUGUUCGUCUUCCCUUUCGUAAAUCUCCCACUAUUGCUUCGUACCCGUUCAGUUAAUUCACAUCAACGUAUGGACUUCUCCUAUUGCAAGUAG